AUUCUUUGCUACUUUGUCUGACUUAUGUGCAUGACUCCAUAGGUUCAAAUACUAAGCUGGUAGUACAGAAACCAAUUCCUACACUAAUCGAGAUACCAUCUAGCAAUGGUUUUUAACAUUCAGAUAGGUCAAAUUAUCACAAAAGAAUAUUUCAGAAUCCAUACUCAUGGUUACCGCAUAAUUCAUCCUUUUGACCAUGGAUGCUCUAGGUGUUAGAUGUGUGUCCUAGAUGCU
rnacentral:lncRNA from 1 species